GGUUAUGACACAUACUUCAUAGUACUUUGGAAAUACCUAUGUAGGAAAACUUGUCUAGCUUAAAACAGAAGUCUUUCAAACUGAAAGAAGAAUCAGAUAAAAUUGAUAAAAUUUAAAUUAUGACUAUAAAUAAAUGUGAAUAUUUUAUCCCUUCUUUCUUCCCUCAUAAAAAGGGAAAAAAACUAUUCUUAAUUCUUUUCUGCCAAAAAAGUCCUUGCUUUUGUAAUAGGCAUCACUUCAAAGCAAAGACUAGUUUGUCAACAGAGUGCCUUAUGGAUGCUUUUAUAGCUCACAGGCAAGAAAUAUCCUGAAAAAUAUGACUGCGCUCAUCUUCUUGCUGUAAUUUACAAAUUAGUAGAGAGAUGGUGGAACUUUUACUACACGUCCAUAUUUGAGAGAAUCUGGUUCAGUUUACAACUAUAGCUCUUCCAAAGGUAAUAGAAGGUAAGGCAAAGUCUCUCUUCUUUCCAUUGGUGCUACUAUAUGCAAUUUAGAUUGUGAUGAAGAACAAUCAUAACAAUUGCCCCACCAGGCUAGAAGAGAUGUCAGAUAUGUUUCAAUUUGCUGAGAAAAUUAUACCCAUCAGCCUGGUGUGUUACAGGAAAUGCUAAAUAUUGAGUAAAACCUGGUUUUGCAUGUGAAGUGUAAUACAUACAUUAAAUAGAAUUUUUAAGUGGCAUACAUAGACUGGACUUUGUAUUAUUCUGUGGUAGUUGUUGAACAGUGGCUGCUCAAAGGUGUAAAAAUCUCUUGUUGGUGGUAAUUUUGGAAAACUGUUACCAUACCACAGUACUAAAUUUUGCUAUAAUAAUUUCAUUUUUUAAACAGAAAACCUUUCCUGUUUUUGUCAGGGAUUUACUAGAGAUGAUAGAGGCAGGUUUAUUUUUUUGAAAUAGUAUGUCCUACAGCCUAGGGCCAGUGUUUUCAAACACAGGAAUCUGCAGAGAAGGGGUUUGACAUCCAGAAAUGUUGGGAAGGCAGUCUUUACCUAAGAUUCUUUAUUUUCAGAUUUCUUCAACCUUAACAGUAGCUUCAUAUAGUGAACACUGCUUUUAUGUCGUAUGUAUGUCCUAAUAUAUUUAGACACCCACAUUUGGAAAUACUCAACCUCAGUUUUGUCUUGAAAUGAGAACUAGUAAAUCCUGAUCUGUUGAACAUAAAGGAGAUACAGUUUCAUAUAUAUUUUAGACUGUAUUUUUUUACCUUUACCUCAAGAUCAUCAGUAUACUGGUUUCUUGACAGAAUUGUGCCAGGCUUGCCUUGUAGAUUCAUAAUUUAAAAACCCUAUAAUCAAAGCUUGUCUGAUGGAAUGUUAGAUUCAAGCAUCCAUGCUGGGAAGCAUACGCCCGACAUUUAUUACAUUACAAAGUAAAUUAUUUAGUUAGGGAGGAGGGCUGACAGGGAAAAUAUACAUCGCCUGUUGGAGCACGUCUGAGAAGCUUGCAAAGAAACUCUAAUAAGGAAAAUAAGCAUUAUAUAAACCUAUGAUAUUAUCAGCUCCUUUAGCACUGCAGUUUUGCAAAAAUUUUGUCUGUAAGGGCGGUGAUGAAGUGCAAGAUUUUAUAUUAUUAUAUUGCUUAAGUUUACAGGAUUUAACAGCUAGAAUCUUUUUGUCUGUGAGAAGUUGUAUAGCAUUUUAAUGAGGCUAUAUAAGUACUAACUCUUGAGUUUUGAGUACAAUGUGUUGUUAAUAGGAAAAUCUAUACUGCAGAGAGUUACGACACUAAUUCUGGAUUUUGUUGUGAGAAUAAGGGAAAAAGGAUUAUUUGCAUGUUUGUUUGAAGUAAUUUUAAACAUCUGUAGCACAUUCCUUAAUUGAGUCUCAUCAUGUGAGCAGUGAUAAGCAGGAGGUGUACUAGCAGGAGUGUGGCCAGCAGGUCAAAGCAGGUGUUUCUUCCACCUGCUUGGCAGUUGUGAGACUGCAGCUGGAGUCCCAUGUUCACUUUUGGACUCCUCUGUACAGAAAUACAUUGACACCCGACAUGGACCACCAAGGUGAUGAAGGCAAUGGGGCACAUGGUGUGUGAGGACAAGGAGUGAGCAGGGUUAGAUCAGCCUUAGAGAGAGAAGGCUUCUCAGAGGGACACAGCAGAAAACAGACACAAGCUGCAUCAUGGGAAGUUCCUGUUAGGUAAAGGGAAAAAGAAUCCUGAAAUGCUAUCCCCAAGGAGAUGAAGCUUGGUCCAUGUGAUCUCCAGAUGUUCAUUAUUCUAUGAACUGUUUUUCAGUCACACAACAAGCAUUUAUCUAGUCACAUAGCAGCAGGAUGAACCCAGCUCUUGAGUGUCUCCAUGAGGUGACGUAGCCUUUCUGUGCCGACACUUUUGACACUAUUUAUGAUCAUGUCUCCCUUGAUAAUACUGACAAAGUUUUGCACAUACUUUUGUGUUGGCUUGUAAGGCUAUAAAGUUAUAUAUUGAUAUUAAUUAUACUUUUAUACUAUUAAUAUGUAUAAUAAUUUACCUUACUAAUAUACAUUAUCACAAUAUAUCCUAGUCAUGCAGUACACAGAAGAUUUGACAGAAGUGACAUACAUCGAUUUGGCAUUACAGGCCUGGACUGAAAGUGCAAGACCUGCUCUUUCAAGAAGCUGCAUAUAUACUUUACAGAGAUGCAUCAGGAAGGAGCACGAGUUGUUCAAGGUGCUUUUGCAGUUAGCAGGCAGAAACUGGGAUCUCUGCAGAGCCAUUAACAUCUUGGCUGUUGUAAAAUUGCUCUGGGGAAGAACCUUUCCAGCUCUGGUAGCUACAGAGGGAGCCUGUGGAGUGUAGGCUUCUGAUGUGGGUGCUACAGGGAGACUUAAAAAAUGGUAUGAAGUCCUUAAAUGUUCUUUUACUUGAAAUAUCUUAGUAUGUAUGUCUGCUUUGGUUUAGGCAUAAAAUGCUUGUCUCUUGAUUUUUGGUGUUUAAAUAACUUGAAAAAUCAUAGUCCUAUGUAAAUAUAUUAUGCUUUUGCCAUAUUUAACUAAGUAUUAUGGCUACCUCACAUCAGAUUGCUGGAAGGAAGCUAGAUUAUUGCCCAGAUGUCUGGAAUUUUUACUAAAUUUCUGAUUUUCUUCUAUAAUGAUUUGAUUUCUGCCUCAAACCUCUUCCUCCUUAUUUAACUUCACCUUAUGCAAACAAUAACAUUAGUAUACCUCAAUUCAAUUAUACACAAGGAAGAUGAAGCAUUAGGCACAUCUAUACUUUUGAAUUACUCUAAGGAUUUAACUGGUUUUAUUGUUGGCAUAGGUUUUUGUUAAGCAAGAUUGUAACACCACUGUGUCUGAACUUAAUUAUUUUAGAAUUAAGUUUAUUUUGGUUCUGACAGUACUUUUUCAAGAGAAAGAAUUCAUCACUGGCUGCAAAUUAAGUCCUUUGCAGCACUUUCUUUCUAUUUAACUCUUCCAAUAUUAGGAAAUAAUGUCUUGUAAAAAAAAAAAAUUCAAAAAAAUUGACAAAGGCCAUGCAUAAAUGGGAGUGGUAUCAUGACUCUUUAAUACACACCAGCUGUUUUUCUUGAAUCUGCAAUGAUAAAUCAUUUUCAGAUCAUUAAAAAUUGAGCAACUCUACAACAAGGAAGUGGUUUCUAAGUGGAUGAUAAUGCAUUUUCAGUAAAUUCUAGUUACCUCAUAGAGAGACUUGGAAGACCAAUAUUAAAAUAAUGACUUCUUAAUAAAUUUUAUAUGUUAAAUGCAUUGUGACAGUCAGCAAUAAAAGUAAAUUACUUAUUUUAUAUAGAGAACAUGUUGUAACAGCCUCCUCCUCCAGCAAGAAAUCCAUUAAACUCCUUGGUGUAUUGUCAAUUGGAUCACUCCUGUACUGAGAUACUCAUAUUUCUAAUAAAGACUAACUGUAAAAUGCAACAGAAAUGUAAAAAUAUUUUUAAUACAAUCAUAUUCAUACCUUAACAUGGUUUUAUAGACAUGCAAUUUCUUAAAGCACUAUUUAACUUUAAAAGUUUCAAGCAUGCCUAUAAUUAAGAGAUAAGUAGUUCUUUCAUAGCAACAAACUAUGAAAAGACCCCUCAGCUACAACUGUAAUGCAGAUGCUGUAAGGAAGCCAGAAAACAAUGACUGAAGCAGGGGAGGGACAGGCUGAGAGCCACAUUCAGUAAGGGCCUUUGAAAUGAAAAAAAAAAAAAAAUUAUAACCAUGAGAACAAAGACUCAAAAAAUAGUGUAGGAGUGAGAAGGAAAGUGGUUGAGAAGAACAGUGAGAAAGAGGGAGCCCACAAGCUGACUUCCAUGUUUUACAUAAAGUAAAACUGGUAAUUUGGAACUGAAUGAUGACAGGACACUUUUGCUUUAAGUAAUUGUUGCAUAUCCUGAGGAGAAGCAGAGGCUCAGAGGUUUGUGUUUAUCUUUCUGUACAUAAUGUCUGCCUUAACACAAUACCUUGUGUAUUGUCAGUGCUUUACGAGACCUUGUGUGUAAAUGACAGAAUUAAGGUGAACAGAUAAGAGAUAAUUAUAAUGAGAUGUGUGUCACAUGGCAGCUUGCACCCACAGUGGUUUUCACAGACCUAAAUAAAUUGAUUUAAAACUGGUUUUAAUUGCACUGGUAGGACAGCUGUGUGCUGAUAGGGCAUCAGUUUCUGUGUUUUGACAUAGCCAAGGGGCUCUUAGUGUGCAUGAUCUACUUAUGCGUUAUGCAAUGCAUAGGUGUGUUAGCAUAAUAAACUGAUUAAGAUAGUGAGGCAAGCCUAAAAACCAAAACAAAAUCAUAUAAAGACCCAGAUUCUCCUUUCCUUUACACCGAGAUGAUUGAAAUGGUUUGUUACAAUUUAGGACUCGCACUGCUGUCUAGAAAAAAAUCCACCAACAAACUUAUUUUGUUAAAAAUAGUUUUGGAUUUUAAACUAUGCAACAAUGGGAAGUGGAAAAUAUUAAGUAAAAAAAUAAAGACUCAAACCCAGAGCACUGAUAUCAGAUAUGUCUCAUAAUUACAGAAACUACUUUGUUAGAUGUGCCAUCUUAGGGAAAUUUAAUUUGCUUAUAUCUCAUUUCUGCAGCACAAAUAGAACACAAAUAGAAAGAUGUAAAUGAUAUAUUUAUUCACGUUUCCACUCUCGUUUAGACUUCCAGUUUAUUAAGUCACAGUAUGAUCCAUAUCCACACUGUAACUUCAGUGGAACAGAGGCUUUACUCCCUUCCAAGGAGAAACAGAUUUCAUAUCACGACCAGACGUGAUACCAGUUAACUUCACUUUUUCUCUGAGAAAGACAUUUUUCCAAUGGAUACAAAUGCCAAGAGGUCAUUUUUCUAGUAUUUGUUCAUAUCUUCUCUACUCCAUUGUGAUGUGGAUUUGUAAUUUCAGCAGAAAAGCUGAAACAAGCACUGCCCGACUGAAAAAGCAAAUGUCAGCUGCUUUUAUAGUAGACUCUGCUGUUUACAAACACCAAUGUCAAUGUUCUGCCCAAAAUGCAUUUGCAAUAAUGUAGUUUUUCAGAAUGCAUUACUUCAGAGAACAGCACAAGGCUUCUGCACAGUAGGUUGCCGAAUUAAUGCUCAAACUUUAUACUAAAAGCUGAAAAUGUUGGUACAAACUGAUCCUUUAUUUUUAGCUCUUAUUACCAGGAUUUUUUAAUCUUUAACCUGUUUCAGUAACAUUUACCUAAAUACAUUCUUCCUGUAAAGUAAUCACCUCUAAACUGUGAUUCUUCUCUCUCUCUGUCCCAAGCUGUUUGCUUUACUCCUGGCAGUUCACAACACUGAAGUUCCUUAGGAGAGGAUGUUGUGAGGGGAUGUUCUGUCACAGUCAGUAUUGCUUUUAGGAAAGAUAAAGCCAAACCACAGGGCUUGCCUGCAGCAUCAUCCCUAAGCCCUAAAGAACCAUGGAAUUCACCUCAGAUUUUGCUUAACUAAGGUCUUUGCCUUUAUUGCUAGAUAAUAAAGGGGUGACGGAGCACAAGGACCAUGGGUUAAGCAAGUUGGAUCCCAGAUGUCCCACACUGCCAAGUCAUCAUCUACUUUAUGGGCUCAGCUUCAAGCAGCACCACUUGGCUUUUUCUCAGCUUUAGUUCGUCAGAGAGCUUAUUUCAGAAAUGGUGCAAAAGGGACAGUGGAUAGCACUGCCUGGGGUUUGGCUCAAGAGCAUUUAGACACACUGUUCUGUGGGUGCAGUCAGAGUCUGGUAGGAAAAAGAAAUAUAAACCAAUGUGAAGACAUAGUAAGAGAUACUAAGCAAGAUUGGUUAGACAUUGCUUCUUUUUUUAUGUCUGAUUAGAGUAACUGAGAAGUGAUGUUACUUUCCAAUUAAAGACUUAGAUACUAAUGUGUGAGCUAUUUCAGGUAUCUUGGCAAACUUCAUGGAAUGAAAAUCUUAACCAAGUACAGGUCUAGUUCUGAUGUGCCUGUACUCAGGUCAGGACACUCCAAGAGUCUCUCCUCCACGAAAGCAUUUGUUUUGGGAGCUGCCCAUGAGAGGUAUUCAUUUAAGCAAAACAUCUUGAUUAUUGAUAAGUGUUAUCCAGAACUUCUAUGGCAUGUUUAAGUGCUUGGAAGCAGGGCUGGAGACCUGAAGAAAAAAUGUAACUGUCUUACAAUGACUGAUUGCAUUGAUAAAAUUAAUGAUGUGUGACCUUGCUAGUAAGAUGUUAAAUUCCCUUAAAAGAACAGGACAGAGGGCUGGGGAGGAAUGCUGAGGAAUGUGCACACCACAAACUUCAGCUACUGUACAACUAUGUAAUUUCAGGUUUUCCUUUGGCUUGAUGGGCUCAAAUCCAACAGUAGUGUCCAGGCAAAGGUAAGCUCAGGGAUACAAUGACUGGAAGGUGUCUGGAAAUUCCAGGUGAGUCAUGAGAAGCACAACUGCCUUGUUAGUUUUUAUUUCAUACAGUCUGAAUGGAGCACUUUUUGGAUAGUUUCCAAAGCCUAUUUUCUCUGCAGUGGCUUGAGAAGCACCUAAACAUUUUGUCUUCUAGAAAUGAGAAUCUAUGAGAAAUCUCAAGGCCUCUCUACCACAGACAGAGGUAGUUUGGGGAAAGUGUAUGUGGAAGCAAAGCUGGGUUUGUAUGGAAGAGUUAACAACUGAUGAGAAUCUGAAAGAUCUGUAUCUAGAUGGAAAGAAAUCGCAUAGAAGCAGGAUCUGCUCUCCCUUUACUGAGGAUAUAAUGUACAAAAAUACUCCAAUGAUUAAGAUGAGACAGUAACAAUUUUUGGGUGCAGAUAGAUAUGGAAUACAGUAACAUUACAGAUCACCCCAGGACAGUCUCUGGUGAAGAAAAAUACUUGAAGGACUUUGUUUAGUCAUCUCCUACCUGCCAUUGCUUGAUAGGACAUUUCUCCCUUUCCUAAGUGUCUUUUAAAUUCCACAUAAAGAGCAUGGGCUCUGUCAGUUACUUUAAUUUUCAGAGAACAAACAGAUCAUUGGACAGUAUUUCCUCCCCACAAAAAAAGCCAGCAUGCACUUUUGGUUGCAAGGAUCAACAGAAAUUUAUGUCAUGAAAACAUAGUACAAAAGACUCAUUUUGCUGUGUAGACAAUAUCUUACAGCAUAAAAUUGUGAGAACACCAUAGAAAUAAAAACCUAUUAAAUGCUGAUU